UCAAUAAUUAAGUGAAGUGUAUCAGUUGGAAUCACCUUACCCUGAUACACAUGUUUAUUUUCGAUACUGCACCGAUAUCGCUGACAGUUCCUUUUAAAACGUGACGUCACUUUUUACUGUUAUGCCAACUUCACGUACAACAAGUGAAUAUUUUUUACUCAUCCUUGUGUUUGAUAAGGUCUUCGAUAUGGUAUGAUUUUCUUUAUUUCUUAUCAUGAAUACAGUGAUGUUUGUGCGUGUAACAUACCGGCCUUAACUGUCGUGUCAACAAUGUAACGGUACCUACGGUGCGAUGGUGUAUUGACAUAUUACAAUGGUGUUCUUUCAUAAUUGUUUAGCUAUUUAUACUUACUCCGUGCGACGUACAAUGGUCUGGAUGGCAAUUUAUACAGUAUAAGGAUUGUAUUGAGCGAGGGGUUGCUGUAACUGUAGAGACGGAAGUUGCUGUGACGGAUGCAACUGAACUUAUCACACCGACCGCUUCGAUAGGUUUGUUAGAACUUGGCGAAGCGGAAGGUGGCGCUACCUUCGCGGUGCUUACCGGAGUUGAACUACCUGAGCCUGGGAAUAAAUAACAAUAUUUAAGUAAUUUAAGAGAAUCCUAAUCAUCAAGUACAACAGUAUGGUUUCAGAGUUUUUUCUAAAUAAAUAAAUUCGUGAAAUUAAA